rnacentral:tRNA from 2 species
GGGUCUGUAGCUCAUCUGGGAGAGCGCCUCGUUCGCAACGAGGAGGUAGCCGGUUCGAUCCCGGUCAGAUCCACCA